GCGAUGUUGUGUGUGUUCUUCUUCUUCUUCAUUGUUCGAUGGCUACAGUGACUCUUGCCCUUCCUCACGAAUCUGAAACUGAGAGCGUUAUGUUUUUUAUGUGUUUAUUCCCAUUAAUUCAGACGCCCACUACGAAUUCUUCAAUGAGUCUUUUAGAUCUGAAAGGCGGUUUGAUUCGGUAUAAAUAGAUGUUCAAUGAUUCAACCGAUUUUGACGAGUUAACCGAACCGGUCUCUCCGUUACACAGCUUCCAGGAAGGUGCUCAGAUAUUUUAGGAAAGAUGGGCACAACUGGAGGAAGAAGAAAGAUGGUAAAACAGUGAAAGAGGCUCACGAAAAGCUC